rnacentral:rRNA from 1 species
GACAGAGGGGGCAAGCGUUGCUCGGAAUCACUGGGCGUAAAGGGCGCGUAGGCGGGAGGGCAAGUCGGUCGUGAAAUCCUUCGGCUCAACCGAAGAACGUCGGCCGAUACUGCCGUUCUUGAGGGAUGCAGAGGAGAUUGGAAUUCCCGGUGUAGCAGUGAAAUGCGUAGAGAUCGGGAGGAACAUCAGUUGCGAAGGCGGCUCUCUGGACCAGCACUGACACUGAGGCACGAAAGCGUGGGGAGCAAACAGG